GGGGGGCGGGGGGGUUUCCCGGAGACAAGAGAGCACUGAACCCCUCCACCCCCAUCCCCCAAACCGUCAAGAAAAGGUUGAAUUCCCUGCACAGCUCAACAGGUGAAGCAGGCGCACCGUAUUCACAAUGCCAAAACAAAGAUAACCACCACCACAGAGCUGCGAGGCCCUUUGGAUUUAGGUGUCGACCAUGCAGGUGACAUAUGCUUUGAGUUUUCAUUCAGCGACACGGAUACAAACAGCGACUCAGGCAACCACUCCCAGGUAGAGGGAUCACGGAGAGGUGAAGGCCCGAUAAGACACACAAAUCUGGGUGAGCCUCUGCAGAUGCUGUCCCUCGAGGGUGGUCGUGAACUGCGCGGCUCAGAGAAAGAGAGUCUGUUACAUGCCUACCUAUCCUUUAUCCCCUUGAGAUUUUACCAUGACUGAACGUCAUAUUUAUACAGAGCAUGUCACGAAUAAACACGUGUGUAGAACCUCAACCCAUGUGAGCAAACAGCAAAAAAUUGAAACAAUAUUUCUUUCACAAUUGUGACCAACUGAGA